CAACCUGGCGGCGUGCUUACCAUGCAAGUCGAGCGGAAAGGCCACUUCGGUGGUACUCGAGCGGCGAACGGGUGAGUAACACGUGAGUAAUCUGCCCUCCACUUUGGGAUAGCCACCGGAAACGGUGAUUAAUACCGGAUAUGACCUGCGCCCGCAUGGGUGUGGGUGGAAAGUUUUUCGGUGGGAGAUGUGCUCGCGGCCUAUCGGCUUGAUGGUGGGGUAAUGGCCUACCAUGGCUUCGACGGGUAGCCGGCCUGAGAGGGUGACCGGCCACACUGGGACUGAGACACGGCCCAGACUCCUACGGGAGGCAGCAGUGGGGAAUAUUGGACAAUGGGCGGAAGCCUGAUCCAGCAACGCCGCGUGAGGGAUGACGGCCUUCGGGUUGUAAACCACUUUCGCCUGCGACGAAGCGAAAGUGACGGUAGCAGGUAAAGAAGCACCGGCCAACUACGUGCCAGCAGCCGCGGUAAU
rnacentral:rRNA from 1 species